CCCGAGGCUGUCUGCGGCUGAGUGCAAAAAACAACUUCUGCUUAGCAACCUUACAUCAGAUGCAUCUUUAAUUCGGAAUUACUGCUGCUUACGGAACCCAGAGAGUAAGUAUAACUAGUGUUAUAUGCUAAUAGUUUGAAAUUAGUUUUGUGAAGAGGAAAUGAAUAUUUGUGUUUUUUUGCUGCAUCUUUAUAUUAUUUUAAACAUUUUAUAGAGGGCAGACAUGUUCUGGUGUGCUGUACAAUGAAUUAAAAGACCAAACAAGUAAAUUGUAACAAACAAAUUACAAAACAAGAGGCAGCGAGGGUCCUGAUCAAAUCGGUUAACAUUUAACUGUCUCUUCUCUGUUUGUUUAUAUUUUAACAUUAAUCUUGUUUGUGAAUUAGCCCUAUCCAAGAUGCAUAAAGAAUUUGACCUGGACGGCUGUUUAUCAGCAGAUACUAUGCUGGAUUACUACACUUUACUAUAAUAUAUAUAAUAUGCUUUCCUCUGUAGUUGUUUAUGGGUAUUUCUUCUGUGUGUUGCAGAACACUCCAAGCACUAUAACCACUACAGCACGCUGUAGUGAUCUUGGUGCCUUCCCAUAGUAAGUUGUCAAACUAUUUAAGAACAAUAUUUACAUGUCCCGGGACACCUGUAGACACGCUGCCUGCUAACGGAUUCUGCUGCAGUGUUCUCAGCCAAUGUGAGUGCAGUGCUGGAUCAAACCGUGCUUUGCUCAUGGGAGACAUCCGGUUAUUUCGGCUGUUAACGUGGUUCUGUUAACUCAAACUUACCUUUCUCCUAUUGUUUCCUCUUCUCUUUUUCUUUCAGAAUAUGUUCUUCUUCUUUUCAUUUCUGAUCUAUUUCUCUUUAAAACAUAAGAUAAAGUAGGAACUAAUUUGUCUUGUGUAUUUUUGCUACGUUUGACAAUUGUGACAAAAGGUAGAGCUUAAGGCAAGCACCACUUCCUGUGUCAUGCUAGCAAAGGGUGAAGCUUGCCUUAAGACUCGUCCUUUGUGAAGAUUUCCAAGUGUAGCAAAAACACAUCACACAAUGUAGUCCCUACUUUGUCUUAUGUUUUAAAGAGAAAUGUAGAUGAUAAAUGAAGAAAAGACGAACAGAUUCAGAAAGAGGAAGAAACGAGGAAACAAUGGGAGAAAGGUCAGUUUGAGCUGACAGAGCCACAUUAAGGCCUGACCCCAGGGGACCCAGGUACAUCGUUAAACUAUUCUUAAAUGGUUUGAAACAUUUCUCUGGGAGAAUACCCAAGCGACCCUCGCACCAUAACCACUACAAUCUGCUGUAAUGGUUAUGGCUCUCUGAGUGUUCCUUCAAGCUUUUAGGAGAGGUCUUCUUCUGCCAUUUGAAUUCUGCCAGUGAAUUCUGCCAGUAGUUUCUUUGAAUUCCUCUCUGUAUCUUUGUAGAUCUCGUUCUAGAGGUGUGUGGGGACAUUGUUGCAGGAGCUAACCUGACCGUUAAUUAUGCUGUAUCGGUACCCAGUGAAGACGAAACUGCGGAAACAAAUGAAGAAAGUGAAUCUGAC